UACAGAGGGUGCAAGCGUUGUUCGGAAUUAUUGGGCGUAAAGGGCGCGUAGGCGGUGCUGUAAGUCUGUGGUGAAAUCUCUGGGCUCAACUCAGAGUCUGCCAUAGAAACUGCAGUGCUGGAGUGUGGGAGAGGUGAGUGGAAUUCCCGGUGUAGCGGUGAAAUGCGUAGAUAUCAGGAGGAACACCUGUGGCGAAAGCGGCGCACUGGACCACAACUGACGCUGAGGCGCGAAAGCUAGGGGAGCAAACAGG
rnacentral:rRNA from 1 species